CACGUAGGGACCGAGCGUUGUCCGGAAUCAUUGGGCGUAAAGAGCGUGUAGGCGGCCUUUUAAGUCCUGCGUGAAAUCCUGCGGCUCAACCGCAGACGGUCGUGGGAAACUGGAAGGCUAGAGUGCGGGAGAGGAGAGUGGAAUUCCCGGUGUAGCGGUGAAAUGCGCAGAUAUCGGGAAGAACACCCGUGGCGAAGGCGGCUCUCUGGGACGGUACUGGACGCUGAGACGCGAAAGCGUGGGGAGCGAACAGGA
rnacentral:rRNA from 1 species